rnacentral:rRNA from 1 species
AAUCAACGCUGGCGGCGUGCCUCAGACAUGCAAGUCGAACGCGAAAGUUUCCUUCGGGGAACAAGUAGAGUGGCGCACGGGUGAGUAACACGUAGGUAAUCUACCUUUGGAUGGGGAAUAACAACCGGAAACGGUUGCUAAUACCGCAUAAUGCAGCGGCACCUAAUGGUGACAGUUGUUAAAGCGGGGGAUCGAAAGACCUCGCGUCUGAAGAGGAGCCUGCGGCGGA